rnacentral:rRNA from 2 species
ACGGGAGGCAGCAGUGGGGAAUAUUGGACAAUGGGGGCAACCCUGAUCCAGCGACGCCGCGUGAGUGAAGAAGUAAUUCGUUAUGUAAAGCUCUAUCAGCAGGGACGAUAAUGACGGUACCUGACUAAGAAGCUCCGGCUAAAUACGUGCCAGCAGCCGCGGUAAUACGUAUGGAGCAAGCGUUAUCCGGAUUUACUGGGUGUAAAGGGAGCGUAGGUGGUUUUGUAAGUCAGAAGUGAAAUGCCGGGGCUCAACCCCGGAGCUGCUUUUGAAACUGCAGAACUAGAGUGCAGGAGAGGUAAGUGGAAUUCCUAGUGUAGCGGUGAAAUGCGUAGAUAUUAGGAGGAACACCAGUGGCGAAGGCGGCUUACUGGACUGUAACUGACACUGAGGCUCGAAAGCGUGGGGAGCAAACAGGAUUAGAUACCCUGGUA